AACGAACGCUGGCGGCAGGCCUAACACAUGCAAGUCGAGCGAGAUCUUCGGGUCUAGCGGCGGACGGGUGAGUAACGCGUGGGAAUAUGCCUCUUGGUACGGAAUAGCCUCGGGAAACUGGGAGUAAUACCGUAUGUGCCCUUUGGGGGAAAGAUUUAUCGCCAAGAGAUUAGCCCGCGUUGGAUUAGGUAGUUGGUGGGGUAAUGGCCUACCAAGCCGACGAUCCAUAGCUGGUUUGAGAGGAUGAUCAGCCACACUGGGACUGAGACACGGCCCAGACUCCUACGGGAGGCAGCAGUGGGGAAUCUUAGACAAUGGGGGCAACCCUGAUCUAGCCAUGCCGGGUGAGUGAUGAAGGCCUUAGGGUUGUAAAGCUCUUUCAGCUGGGAAGAUAAUGACGGUACCAGCAGAAGAAGCCCCGGCUAACUCCGUG
rnacentral:rRNA from 1 species